rnacentral:rRNA from 1 species
CUCAAAUCAGGUAGGACUACCCGCUGAACUUAAGCAUAUCAAU